UGUGUCCUACGGGAGGCAGCAGUGGGGAAUAUUGCACAAUGGGGGAAACCCUGAUGCAGCGACGCCGCGUGAGUGAAGAAGUAUCUCGGUACGUAAAGCUCUAUCAGCAGGGAAGAAAAAAAGUCUUUGGCUUUGGACGGUACCUGACUAAGAAGCCCCGGCUAACUACGUGCCAGCAGCCGCGGUAAUACGUAGGGGGCAAGCGUUAUCCGGAUUUACUGGGUUUAAAGGGUGCGCAGGCGGCGAGUUAAGUCAGCGGUAAAAUUUCGGGGCUCAACCCCGACGAGCCGUUGAAACUGGCUUGC
rnacentral:rRNA from 1 species